rnacentral:rRNA from 1 species
AGUGAACGCUGGCGGUAGGCCUAACACAUGCAAGUCGAACGGCAGCACAGUAAGAGCUUGCUCUUACGGGUGGCGAGUGGCGGACGGGUGAGGAAUACAUCGGAAUCUACUUUUUCGUGGGGGAUAACGUAGGGAAACUUACGCUAAUACCGCAUACGACCUACGGGUGAAAGCAGGGGAUCUUCGGACCUUGCGCGAUUGAAUGAGCCGAUGUCGGAUUAGCUAGUUGGCGGGGUAAAGGCCCACCAAGGCGACGAUCCGUAGCUGGUCUGAGAGGAUGAUCAGCCACACUGGAACUGAGACACGGUCCAGACUCCUACGGGAGGGAGCAGUGGGGAAUAUUGGACAAUUGGCGGAAGCCUGCUCCAGCCAUACCGCGUGGGUGAAGAAGGCCUUCGGGUUGUAAAGCCCUUUUGUUGGGAAAGAAAAGCAGCAGGUUAAUACCCCGCUGUUCUGACGGUACCCAAAGGAUAAGCACCGGCUAACUUCGUG